UACGUAGGGUGCGAGCGUUAAUCGGAAUUACUGGGCGUAAAGCGUGCGCAGGCGGCUCGCUGUGUCCUGUGUGAAAGCCCCGGGCUUAACCUGGGAAUGGCAUGGGAAACUGGCGAGCUUGAGUGCGGCAGAGGGGGGUGGAAUUCCGCGUGUAGCAGUGAAAUGCGUAGAGAUGCGGAGGAACACCGAUGGCGAAGGCAGCCCCCUGGGUCGACACUGACGCUCAGGCACGAAAGCGUGGGGAGCAAACAGG
rnacentral:rRNA from 1 species